GACCAUCUCCUAAGGCUAAAUACUCUCUAGUGACCGAUAGUGAACCAGUACCGUGAGGGAAAGGUGAAAAGCACCCCGGAAGGGGAGUGAAAUAGAACCUGAAACCGUGUGCUUACAAGUAGUCAGAGCCCGUUAAUGGGUGAUGGCGUGCCUUUUGUAGAAUGAACCGGCGAGUUACGAUUUGAUGCAAGGUUAAGCAGUAAAUGUGGAGCCGUAGCGAAAGCGAGUCUGAAUAGGGCGUUUAGUAUUUGGUCGUAGACCCGAAACCAGGUGAUCUACCCUUGGUCAGGUUGAAGUUCAGGUAACACUGAAUGGAGGACCGAACCGACUUACGUUGAAAAGUGAGCGGAUGAACUGAGGGUAGCGGAGAAAUUCCAAUCGAACCUGGAGAUAGCUGGUUCUCUCCGAAAUAGCUUUAGGGCUAGCCUCAAGUGAUGAUUAUUGGAGGUAGAGCACUGUUUGGACGAGGGGCCCCUCUCGGGUUACCGAAUUCAGACAAACUCCGAAUGCCAAUUAAUUUAACUUGGGAGUCAGAAC
rnacentral:rRNA from 1 species